GUCCACGCCGUAAACGAUGGAUACUAGCUGUUGGGCGCAAGUUCAGUGGCUAAGCGAAAGUGAUAAGUAUCCCACCUGGGGAGUACGUUCGCAAGAAUGAAACUCAAAGGAAUUGACGGGGGCCCGCACAAGCGGUGGAGCAUGUGGUUUAAUUCGAUGAUACGCGAGGAACCUUACCAAGGCUUAAAUGUAGAUUGACCGGUUUUGGAAACAGACUUUUCGCAAGACAAUUUACAAGGUGCUGCAUGGUUGUCGU
rnacentral:rRNA from 1 species